rnacentral:lncRNA from 1 species
GCAGAUCCUCGUUCCUAGCUGCCUGCCAGCGUCCUCGGCCCGGCCCUGAGGAUGGACCCAGGAGAUCCCGCUGGUGACCCUGCCGCUGGCGAGCGCCACCGCAUGGUGGCAUUAAGGGCACUCAUGUGGCUGCACAGCUGCCACCACCGUCCACCUGCAGAACCUUCUCAUCUCACGCAUCUGAAACUCUGCUUUAAAAGAAAAUCUGGGCUGGGCGCGGUGGCUCACGCCUGUCAUCCCAGCACUUUGGGAGGCCGAGGUGGACGGACCAAUUGAGCUCAGGAGUUCAAGACCAGCCUGGCCAACAUGGUGAAAACCCGUCUCUACUAAAAAUACAAAAAUUAGCCAGGCGUAGCGGUGAGCGCCUGUACUCCCAGCUACUCCGGAGGCUGAGGCACGAGAAUCACGAACCUGAGAGGUGGAGGUUGCAGUGAGCCGAGAUCACAGCACUGCACUCCAGCCUGGGUGACAGUGAGACUCCGUCUCUAAAUAAAAUAUUAACUUAAA